rnacentral:rRNA from 1 species
UACAGAGGUCCCAAGCGUUGUUCGGAUUCAUUGGGCGUAAAGGGUGCGUAGGUGGCGCCGUAAGUCGGGUGUGAAAUUUCGGAGCUUAACUCCGAAACUGCAUUCGAUACUGCGGUGCUUGAGGACUGGAGAGGAGGCUGGAAUUCAUGGUGUAGCAGUGAAAUGCGUAGAGAUCAUGAGGAAGACCAGUGGCGAAGGCGGGUCUCUGGACAGUUCCUGACACUGAGGCACGAAGGCCAGGGGAGCAAACGGG